rnacentral:misc_RNA from 1 species
CCGGGUGGGUCGAUGCACUAGCCGCCGCACUGCGCCGUCACGGCGAUGACAAGAGCGCCGCCCGCCGCAAGGCCGAACAUGCCGUGCUGGAAAUCCAGGGCGCGCUAGUGCUGGCGCGCGCCUUCGACGACGCGAAGGUGUUUUCGAGGUCGCUCAAGGAAUCGGAGCGCAGGCUGCUCGAAAAAUAGCGGCGAUGCGAGGGGAUGCAUCGCCGCGUCAAGUUGCCGUCAGAGAGUUAUGCCGCCGCCUUGUGGCGCGCGAUCUCGGCCUUGUAGAGUUCGAACUCCUCGGC